rnacentral:rRNA from 1 species
UGGGGAAUUUUGGACAAUGGGGGCAACCCUGAUCCAGCAAUGCCGCGUGCGUGAAGAAGGCCUUCGGGUUGUAAAGCACUUUUGUCCGGAAAGAAAACGCCGUGGUUAAUACCCGUGGCGGAUGACGGUACCGGAAGAAUAAGCACCGGCUAACUACGUGCCAGCAGCCGCGGUAAUACGUAGGGUGCAAGCGUUAAUCGGAAUUACUGGGCGUAAAGCGUGCGCAGGCGGUUUGCUAAGACCGAUGUGAAAUCCCCGGGCUCAACCUGGGAACUGCAUUGGUGACUGGCAGGCUAGAGUAUGGCAGAGGGGGGUAGAAUUCCACGUGUAGCAGUGAAAUGCGUAGAGAUGUGGAGGAAUACCGAUGGCGAAGGCAGCCCCCUGGGCCAAUACUGACGCUCAUGCACGAAAGCGUGGGGGAGCAAACAGGAUUAGAUACCCUGGUAGUCCACGCCCUAAACGAUGUCAACUAGUUGUUGGGGAUUCAUUUCCUUAGUAACGUAGCUAACGCGUGAAGUUGACCGCCUGGGGAGUACGGUCGCAAGAUUAAAACUCAAAUGAAUUGACGGGGUCAUAGCUGUUUCCU